rnacentral:pre_miRNA from 1 species
CACUGGUCUCUGGUUAGUUUUGCUGGUUUGCAUUCAGCUGUAACACCACUGUUGCUGUGCAAAUCCAUGCAAAACUGACUAUAGCAGUG